rnacentral:tRNA from 1 species
UUUCAUUAGUAUAAAUAUUACAUUUAAUUUCCAAUUAAAAAAUCAUUUUGAUGAAAUAA